rnacentral:lncRNA from 12 species
GAGAAAUCCACCCUGCCCAUGGGAGUUCCAGGUGGAAUUUGUGUCUCUAAAAACACCUCAAAACCCCAAUAUUCCCCCCCAGAAAUCCCAAAAUACCCCCAAAUACCCCAAAACCAACAGCUUCACCGCCCCAAAAUCCUUCCAAGUGCCAAUUCCAGAAGUUCCCAGGAGGAACCACUGCUGUUGUUGCCAGAUUAAUUCAUCCUGCGCUUCCCCAUCCAUAUUUUUUUCUGAAAAAGUCUGAUUUUUGGGAAAUGACGGCUUUAGGUUUUUCACCUCAUCAGGUGCUUUCUCAGCAGGGAGGAGGAACUCACAGGAUGUUACGUGAGGGUUUUUUGGGGUGGUUUCGGGGUUUUUUCGGGGUUUUUUGGUCGUUCCAAUAUCAUUUCUCAGCAGCAAAACCUCCGAGCUGGGCUCACCUGAAAAGCAGCGGGAUCCUGGGAUUAUCUGGGAUUGGAUUUGGGUGAAAAUCCUGGAAUUCUCAUUCCCUAGAACCACAAGGAAUCGAUCACAGCUCGGAUUGUUGGAUCCGACCUCAGGGAACCCGGUACUCCCGCCCCACACCCUGAAAAUUGGAGAAAAGCGGCGAAAUUUGGAGAAAGAAAAAAGACAAAAAUUCCUCAGAUUUCCUCCACUAAAACCAGUCAAGAUUUUCCCAUCAACAGAUCCACGACUGGAAUUUUUUUCCUGCCUUUCCCAGCCAUUCCAGGAAGGACAAAACCCAUCCCUAAAUUCACCCAAAUUCACCGAGAACGAGGAUUUGGCUUCUCCCAGCUAUUGGGGCGUGAAGCACAAUCCCCCACGCUUUGAAUAAUUUCCGAUCGAAGAGAAGAAAAGGCAGAAAAUCCGACUCAUUCACAGCAAAAACAGGAA